rnacentral:rRNA from 1 species
UACGUAGGGUGCGAGCGUUGUCCGGAAUUAUUGGGCGUAAAGGGCUCGUAGGCGGUCUGUCACGUCGAAAGUGAAAACUCAGGGCUUAACCCUGAGCCUGCUUCCGAUACGGGCAGACUAGAGGUAUGCAGGGGAGAAUGGAAUUCCUGGUGUAGCGGUGAAAUGCGCAGAUAUCAGGAGGAACACCGGUGGCGAAGGCGGUUCUCUGGGCCUGUACUGACGCUGAGGAGCGAAAGCGUGGGGAGCGAACAGG